rnacentral:rRNA from 1 species
CCCGACUUUAUGGAAGGGUGGUAUUUAUUAGACUGAAACCAAUAUUCCUUGUGUCUAUUGCGGUGAUUCAUAAUAACUGAUCGAAUCUCUUUUUGAGAUAAAUCAUUCAAGUUUCUGCCCUAUCAGCUUUCGAUGGUAGUGUAUUGGACUACCAUGGCAGUAACGGGUAACGAAGAAUUAGGGUUCGAUUUCGGAGAGGGAGCAUGAGAAACGGCUACCACAUCUAAGGAAGGCAGCAGGCGCGUAAAUUACCCAAUCCUGACUCAGGGAGGUAGUGACAAGAAAUAGCAAACCGGGAACCUCAUGGUUUCACGGUAUUGCAAUGAGAACAAUUUAAAACCCUUAGCGAGAAUCAAGUGGAGGACAAGUCUGGUGCCAGCACCCGCGGUAAUUCCAGCUCCACUAGCGUAUAUUAAAGUUGUUGCAGUUAAAAAGCUCGUAGUUGAACCUCUGUCUGGGGCUAGUUUUGGCUUUGGUCAGGCUAGUUCUAGGCAUCCGCCUACAAGACUUAGAGGGCAUUCAGUUGUUCACUAGGAGGAGUAGGCAUUUUACUUUGAAAAAAUUAGAGUGUUUAAGGCAGGCAAUCGCCCGCAUAUAUUAGCAUGGAAUAAUAGAAUAGGACACUUUUCCAUUUCGUUGGUUAUUGGAAUCGUGUAAUGAUUAAUAGGGACAGUUGUGGGCAUUUGUAUUUAAUUGUCAGAGGUGAAAUUCUUGGAUUUAUUAAAGACAAACUAACGCGAAAGCAUUUGCCAAGGAUGUUUUCAUUAAUCAAGAACGAAAGUUAGGGGAUCAAAGACGAUCAGAUACCGUCCUAGUCUUAACUAUAAACUAUUCCGACUCAAUGUUUGACUGGCUUAUAUAACCAGUUGAGCGUUGUAUGAGAAAUCAAAGUCUUUAGGUUCUGGGGGGAGUAUGGUUGCAAAGCUGAAACUUAAAGGAAUUGACGGAAGAGCACAACCAGGAGUGGAUUCUGCGGCUUAAUUUGACUCAACACGGGGAAACUUACCAGGUUAAAACAAUAGUGGGAUUGACAGUUUGAGAGCGCUUUCUUGAUUGGUUGGGUGGUGGUGCAUGGCCGUUCUUAGUUGGUGGAGUGAUUUGUCUGCUUAAUUGCGUUAACGAACGAGACCUUAACCUGCUUACUAGACUGGCGAUCAUCAAUCGUUAGCUCUUCUUAGAGGGACUUUGGUCGUUUUAACUCCAAGGAAGUUUGAGGCAAUAACAGGUCUGUGAUGCCCUUA